rnacentral:rRNA from 1 species
GACGAACGCUGGCGGCGUGCUUAACACAUGCAAGUCGAACGGAAAGGCCCUGCUUUUGUGGGGUGCUCGAGUGGCGAACGGGUGAGUAACACGUGAGUAACCUGCCCUUGACUUUGGGAUAACUUCAGGAAACUGGGGCUAAUAUCGGAUAGGAGCUCCUGCUGCAUGGUGGGGGUUGGAAAGUUUCGGCGGUUGGGGAUGGACUCGCGGCUUAUCAGCUUGUUGGUGGGGUAGUGGCUUACCAAGGAUUUGACGGGUAGCCGGCCUGAGAGGGUGACCGGCCACAUUGGGACUGAGAUACGGCCCAGACUCCUACGGGAGGCAGCAGUGGGGAAUAUUGCACAAUGGGCGGAAGCCUGAUGCAGCAACGCCGCGUGCGGGAUGACGGCCUUCGGGUUGUAAACCGCUUUCGCCUGUGACGAAGCGUGAGUGACGGUAAUGGGUAAAGAAGCACCGGCUAACUACGUG